rnacentral:lncRNA from 1 species
AUGCAAAUUCAGCCAGGGCUGGAAGUCAGGAAGUGGGUGACUUACUCCAUGCUCACCAGACAAGAACUUUCAACCAAUAAAGGAGUAAAGCACACAGAAAAAGGAUCAGAUUCAGAAUUGUACCACCUCUUGUACCACCUAUUGGGGAGAGAAAAUACUCACCUCAGGACUCUCUUGCCACAAGGGACCCCCGCCUGCACUUUUCUCUUCAAGCAAAGAACAGCUAUUCUAAUCACGGAUGAGAAAAUUUAUCGAAUCUUCAGCAAGCAGACUUCUGUAAUAAUAAGUCCCAACUCUGCUAUGGAGAAAACUGAGUUUUGAGAAAGAUGAAAGAAAAAAUAAUAAUGAAAAAAAGAUGAAAACAAUCAAGAAAAACCAGCUCGAGAGUCAACGUACUUUCAUUCUAAAGUUCUAACUGUGCAAAUAACACGCUUUCCAUAUUAAUGUAAAUGGCCAAACAAAAGGAAUAAAUAUGAAUAUGCUCUUCA